UCAAAAAUUAACUUAUGAAGAUAAAAUGACUGAAAAAAAAACUUUUCUUGAUAAUGAAAAUAUUGGUAAAAUGAAUAAAAAUGAUAAUGGUAGUAUGAACAACAACAAUAUAAGGCAAAAUAAAACUUCACUAAAUUUUUAUGUUUAUUGUUUUUAUAUUUUAUCUAAGUUUCCAUAUUCAAAUAUAAAAAUAAUGAAUAUAUUAAAAUCAAAGAUUCUAAAUCAAAUAAAUAAUUUAACUUUAGAAGAAUUGAUAAUGACUUUUUAUAGCGUAGCAGAAUUAGAAUAUGAUGCUUUUUUUUUACAAAAUUAUAUAUAUACAUUAAUUUUUAAGAAGUUACAUCUUUUAAAUUAUAAAAAUACUUAUAUAGUAUUAAAACUAAUUAAAUCUUUAUAUUUAACAAACAAUUUAGAGAUUUUUACGGAUGGAAAUAUUUCAAGUGAAAUGUCCGUUGAAAAAAAAGAUGUAAAAAAUAUAAAAAAUACAAAGAACGACAUAAGCAAUACGAGCAUAAACAGUAGUACUUGUGAGAAGGACAUAAAAACACUUAUGCUACAUUACUUAUCCAAAAUUGUAUUACAUAAUGUACAUAAUUAUACAGCAAUAGAGUUAGUAGAUAUAAUUAGAUAUAUGGGGGCAUUAACUUAUAUAAAUAAAGAACUUUUUAAUUUUGUUUUCAGUUUACCAUUUUUUAAAAAUUUAAAUGAAAAUACAUUAAAUUAUCAUAAAAAAAAUAUAUAUUUUAAUCAUUCUUACUAUGCGUAUACCAAACAUAAUAGUGGUAUUAUUACUCCUGUUGAAAUUGCAUUAUGUAAAUUGUAUCAGGCGUAUCUUUCUUAUUCCAUGUACAGUGAUAUAUAUAUUGAUGGUGUUAAUGAAGCCGACGAUAAUAUUUCCAAUACAACAAAUAUAUUAAAACAAAUUCAAAAUAAUAAUAAUAAUAUAAAAACUUUCAAUUUUAAUCAUAAUAUAUUACAAUUGCUUAAAAAAACAUAUUUAUAUAACAUGAGUUUAUCUACUUAUAACUCUUCAACGUUACAUUAUGAAAUUGCAGAUAUAUUACAAAAAAAAUUUAAUAUACCAUGUCAUGUUGAAUAUAAAACAAAACAUGGAAUGUCAAUAGAUAUAGCCAUAUUAUAUGAGGACAUUAAAAAAAUGAAUAACAAUAUAUCUUAUUUUUCAAAUAUAGCCAUCGAAAUUAAUGGUCCGUUUCAUUAUAAGACUAAAUCGCUGAGUGAAGGAAACCUUCCUUAUCUUAACACCAAAACUGUGUUAAAAAA
rnacentral:lncRNA from 1 species